AUUGAACGCUGGCGGCAUGCCUUACACAUGCAAGUCGAACGGCAGCAUGAUCUAGCUUGCUAGAUUGAUGGCGAGUGGCGAACGGGUGAGUAAUACAUCGGAACGUGCCCUGUAGUGGGGGAUAACUAGUCGAAAGAUUAGCUAAUACCGCAUACGACCUGAGGGUGAAAGUGGGGGACCGCAAGGCCUCAUGCUAUAGGAGCGGCCGAUGUCUGAUUAGCUAGUUGGUGAGGUAAAGGCUCACCAAGGCGACGAUCAGUAGCUGGUCUGAGAGGACGAUCAGCCACACUGGGACUGAGACACGGCCCAGACUCCUACGGGAGGCAGCAGUGGGGAAUUUUGGACAAUGGGCGAAAGCCUGAUCCAGCAAUGCCGCGUGUGUGAAGAAGGCCUUCGGGUUGUAAAAGCCCUUUUGUCCGGAAAGAA
rnacentral:rRNA from 1 species